GGUACGGUGGCUCGACAGGUAAGGCAUCGGCCUCAUAAGCCGAGGGUUCGUCCCAAUCCUGGUUCAAAUCCAGGUCGUACCUCCA
rnacentral:tRNA from 4 species